GCCAGAGUGGUGUAGUGGUUUGAACAUUGAACUAUGACUCUGAAAAUCAGGGUUCAAAUCCCUCUUUAGUA